rnacentral:tRNA from 1 species
GAGGGCACAGCCCAGUGGUAGAGCGUGUGCUUAGCGUGCAUGAGGUUCUGGGUUCAAUCCCCAGUGCCGCCA